rnacentral:rRNA from 1 species
GACGAACGCUGGCGGCGUGCUUAACACAUGCAAGUCGAGCGAACCUUCGGGUUAGCGGCGAACGGGUGAGUAACACGUGGGCAACCUGCCCCGAGCUCUGGGAUAACCCCGGGAAACCGGGGCUAAUACCGGAUAUGACACCAAUCGACAUCUGUUGGUGUGGAAAGUUUUUCGGCUCGGGAUGGGCCCGCGGCCUAUCAGCUUGUUGGUGGGGUAACGGCCUACCAAGGCGACGACGGGUAGCCGGCCUGAGAGGGCGACCGGCCACACUGGGACUGAGACACGGCCCAGACUCCUACGGGAGGCAGCAGUGGGGAAUAUUGCGCAAUGGGCGAAAGCCUGACGCAGCGACGCCGCGUGAGGGAUGAAGGCCUU